GGAACAACUUGUUUUCUAACACUGGUCUUAGCACGAUAGCAAAUGUGCUUACGCCGAGGCGACGCGUGCUGGCUCAACAGUAUUACGAAGCGAGGCUGUCCUUCAACGUCUCCGCGGUUUCAGGAUCAAAUUGGCUGCCACAUGUAUGUGAGAUCCGUGUGACAACACAUAGGGGGGUGCUUCUUCUUUCAGAUCUUUUUAUAUACUGCAUACAGUGAACACGAGAAACCAAGACCGACUCGCCACAGAGCUUUUGGAUAUUUACAUUCUCUGACACUCUGACAGUGGACAAUAUGACCGUGUGACUCAGCGGAUGGGCCGAGCCGAGGUGUGUUUCUUGGAAAGCUAGCCUAAAGAUGAUGAGAUGAGCGCCGUUCCCAUGGUGAUGACGCAGCAGGAAUUUGUUGUUGCAUCAGAAAGUUGAUGGAGGCAACGAUCUGAAGCAAACCACUUCUCACAGGUUUGUGCCUGCCAUAUUGGCUCACACUGCACAAGUACAAGUGUUGAAGUCACCUUAACCACACUAGUUAUCAUUUUUUUCAUUAUGAUUGGGCCUGAAUGGAUGCCAAACCACCUUCCAUGAAAACAUUUCAUCUCUUUCCCGAGAUGGGCUUGUGCAACAAACAACCAUCUGGCCUAAUAUGCAAAAAAGAUAUUGUCAUCACCCCUGCUUUGAAUUCACACCACCCGCCUCCAGAUCAUUUUGGGCCUGUCUCGCAAACAUCAGGUCAUACAAGGAACGUCGCACCUUCACUCCAUCUUCAUCCUCAUCCCAAACACGUCUCGAUACCCAGCUGGCUCCGGCACUUGUUCUGUGCGCACACUGCCAGCCUCUGACGCAUGAAUAUUACUGACAUCAUCUUCUUUUUUUUCUCCACAAACAACCAUAUUUGGAAUAUGCCUCCGUUUCACGGACAAACAGGUUGUGAAAAAUUGGGAGCACUUGCAUAAUCCAAUAAAAUCUGCAUUUACAAAGAGAAUGUGUUUCAACAA